ACCGUUAUAACCGGCGAUACCCGAAUGGGGAAACCCAGUGUGAUUCGUCACACUAUCAUUAACUGAAUCCAUAGGUUAAUGAGGCGAACCGGGGGAACUGAAACAUCUAAGUACCCCGAGGAAAAGAAAUCAACCGAGAUUCCCCCAGUAGCGGCGAGCGAACGGGGAGGAGCCCAGAGCCUGAAUCAGCAUGUGUGUUAGUGGAAGCGUCUGGAAAGGCGCGCGAUACAGGGUGACAGCCCCGUACACAAAAGCGCAUGUGCUGUGAGCUCGAUGAGUAGGGCGGGACACGUGGUAUCCUGUCUGAAUAUGGGGGGACCAUCCUCCAAGGCUAAAUACUCCUGACUGACCGAUAGUGAACCAGUACCGUGAGGGAAAGGCGAAAAGAACCCCGGCGAGGGGAGUGAAAAAGAACCUGAAACCGUGUACGUACAAGCAGUGGGAGCCCCACCACCAAAGCAUUUGCUGUACCGCGUUGACGGAGCGAAGCGACGUCAAACCGAUAAAACAGCAGUGUAAAGUGAGCCGCAGGGCGCUUUGCGCGACAGCGCAAAGGCAGGCGGUUUCGCGUAGCGAAAGCGAAUGCUUUGGGGUGG
rnacentral:rRNA from 1 species